GGAGGAUGAUGACAGAGAAGACAAGGAGAGGAGAACAGUAUAAACAUCUCAUCGCCGUGGAGAUAUAACUGCAUUCAAACAGCAGCAGAGAGGCUGGACGAUGCUCAGACACACACAUAUGCCGGGCAGAGGCAGAGUGAAAAUAAACAACAGUCAGCAGCACCUGGGAUACAAGUGGCUUCGCACUGCUCUACAGGAGCUAAAGCUGGGCAGACAAAAGAAGAAUUGCAAAAUUCCUCUGCAGGCUUCGACUUUUCAGAAUCAAGUUGAAAUUCGUUUGCUGUUUGAUGUGCAGUUUGAGGGAGGUUGCAGGGCCUUAUUAACUUUCUGACCGAUAUGGUUCUUGGUCGAUUUCUGGCAUGGCAGAAAUUCUGGUUGGUUGUCUUGCAGUUUGAGCAUUUUCUGAUUUCCCACAUGCUGCAAUCAAAACAUUUGUGAAAAACUAUAGGGAGCUUUCAUAUUAUUCCCAUAGCAUUUUACAUGUUGCGACAUGUGGCGCUGCCCUCCCUGUUUAUCAGCACAGUUAACGAUGCGGUCAUCCUGCUCAAAUAACCUUCAUUGGAAUUGUCACUGUACAGAACCGACUGUGGGUUCCCUGCUUACAUAAAGUGUGUGCACCCACAUCAUGAUGAUGCUCAAUAGAUGUGGACAGACUGAGCAUAAAAGUUUCAGGUUCCAGAAUGUCUAGAAACUAGUUUUGUCAGUUAACACAAAAUACAAGACUAAUAAAAAUAAAAAAACUACCCUGUUUGCUACUGGCAUC